UACGUAGGGUGCGAGCGUUGUCCGGAAUUAUUGGGCGUAAAGAGCUUGUAGGCGGUCUGUCGCGUCUGCUGUGAAAAUCCGGGGCUCAACCCCGGACUUGCAGUGGGUACGGGCAGACUAGAGUGUGGUAGGGGAGACUGGAAUUCCUGGUGUAUCGGUGAAAUGCGCAGAUAUCAGGAGGAACACCGAUGGCGAAGGCAGGUCUCUGGGCCACUACUGACGCUGAGAAGCGAAAGCAUGGGGAGCGAACAGG
rnacentral:rRNA from 1 species